UUUUCGUAGGUGAACCCGCGGAAGGAUCAUUACAGAGCUGCGACUCCCUCGGGAGCCAUCUCCACCCCUUUACUACCUAAUAUUGUUGCUUUGCCGGCCCGCGGCCUUGCCGCCGCCCGCCCCGGCUGGCGAGCGCCGGCCAGAGGCAUUUAAAUUCUUGCUUGCAAUGAAUCUGGGCGAUACAUAAAAUGCGAAAAACUUUCAACAACGGAUCUCUUGGUUCUG
rnacentral:misc_RNA from 1 species